AGCGAACGCUGGCGGCGUGCCUAACACAUGCAAGUCGAACGUGAAAAGGGAAACCUGAGUACAGUGGCGUACGGGUGAGUAACGCGUAGGUAAUCUACCCCAGAAUCUGGAAUAACCUGCCGAAAGGCGGGCUAAUACUGGAUAGAGCGAGGGAACUCGUAAGAGAGUUUUUCGGGAAAGGGAGCCCGCAAGGGCCUUCGUUCUGGGAUGAGCCUGCGUCUCAUUAGCUAGUUGGUAAGGUAACGGCUUACCAAGGCGAUGAUGAGUAGCUGGUCUGAGAGGAGGAUCAGCCACACUGGAACUGAAACACGGUCCAGACUCCUACGGGAGGCAGCAGUGGGGAAUCUUGCGCAAUGGACGAAAGUCUGACGCAGCCACGCCGCGUGAGUGAAGAAGGCCUUCGGGUUGUAAAGCUCUGUCGGAUGGGACGAACAUCUUCAUAGUGAAUAGCUAUGAGGACUGACGGUACCAUCAAAGGAAGCACCGGCUAACUCCGUG
rnacentral:rRNA from 1 species